CGCAGGUUAAGAUCCUCCCUGGUUGAACUGAAGUUUAAUGAAGACCUGCUAAUAUGUUCCCAAAAGUGAGAAGAAAAUUCAGUUUUAAGCAUGCAUGAAAAUGAAAAGAAUUUUACUAAUGAGCCUCGCCUAAACACAGGACCUGGAAGACGCAGCUAACAGAGGAAAAGGCCCCCAGAAAACAGGGGACCACAAAGGACAACGUUGACGCUGGCAAAACGUGAGUGGAGCCCGACAGAGCAAAGGGACUUGAUCUGCUGUGAAGUCCGGAGUCCUGAGAGCGCAAAUAAAGCAAAAGCUUCCGCGUACCUGAAAAGAAGCCGCUCAUAAACGGUGUAGUAUCGCACAUACUCAUUGCAUCACGGCUCCUUGCAGGCUUCCCUGGCAUUGCUGUCGUUCUUAGUGGUGCUGAGCCGCUUUCCCGGGCUCCUCUGCUGCCUGCAUAACCUUCUUGGUAAAAUAUCUUUAUACCUUUCAGCCA